CGAACUGUGCGAACGUUAUUCGGAAUCACUGGGCUUACAGGGUGCGUAGGCGGCUUGUUAAGUAGGGUGUGAAAUCCCCCGGCCCAACCGGGGAAUGGCGCUCUAAACUAGCAGGCUUGAGUGAGCUAGGGGUACACGGAACUUCCAGUGGAGCGGUGAAAUGUGUUGAUAUUGGAAGGAACACCGGAGGCGAAAGCGGUGUACUGGGGCUCAACUGACGCUGAGGCACGAAAGCCAGGGGAGCGAACGGG
rnacentral:rRNA from 1 species